rnacentral:rRNA from 1 species
UACGUAGGGUGCAAGCGUUAAUCGGAAUUACUGGGCGUAAAGCGUGCGCAGGCGGUGAUGUAAGACAGGUGUGAAAUCCCCGGGCUUAACCUGGGAACCGCAUUUGUGACUGCAUAGCUGGAGUACGGCAGAGGGGGAUGGAAUUCCGCGUGUAGCAGUGAAAUGCGUAGAUAUCAGGAGGAACACCGGUGGCGAAGGCGGCUUCCUGGACAAAAACUGACGCUGAGGCGCGAAAGCUAGGGGAGCAAACAGG